CCUACGGGGGGCAGCAGUGGGGAAUAUUGGACAAUGGGGGGAACCCUGAUCCAGCCAUGCCGCGUGUGUGAAGAAGGCCCUCGGGUUGUAAAGCACUUUCAGUGAGGAAGAACGCCUGGUGGUUAAUACCCAUCAGGAAAGACAUCACUCACAGAAGAAGCACCGGCUAACUCCGUGCCAGCAGCCGCGGUAAUACGGAGGGUGCGAGCGUUAAUCGGAAUUACUGGGCGUAAAGCGCGCGUAGGUGGCUUGAUAAGCCGGUUGUGAAAGCCCCGGGCUCAACCUGGGAACGGCAUCCGGAACUGUCAAGCUAGAGUGCAGGAGAGGAAGGUAGAAUUCCCGGUGUAGCGGUGAAAUGCGUAGAGAUCGGGAGGAAUACCAGUGGCGAAGGCGGCCUUCUGGACUGACACUGACACUGAGGUGUGAAAGCGUGGGUAGCAAACAGGAUUAGAUACCCUGGUAGUC
rnacentral:rRNA from 1 species